UACGUAGGGGGCAAGCGUUGUCCGGAAUCAUUGGGCGUAAAGCGCGUGUAGGCGGCCCGGUAAGUCCGCUGUGAAAGUCGGGGGCUCAACCCUCGAAUGCCGAGUGGAUACUGGUCGGGCUAGAGGUGCGGGAGAGGCGAGGUAGGUAAUUCCGUGGUGUAGCGGUGAAAUGCGCAGAUAUCAGGAGGAACACCAAUUGCGAAGGCAGCUCGCUGGAACGUAACUGACGCUGAGACGCGAAAGCGUGGGGAGCAAACAGG
rnacentral:rRNA from 1 species